GCUGCUUGUACAUCCCAAAAACGGUCCUGACAUCUAUAGUAGAAAAGUUGGUAGGAAAUAGGCUUAGAUGGUUUAGGCAGGUAGAGAGAAGAUCCAUAGAUGCCGUCGUAAGAAGAGUAGAUCAAAUUGAGGAAAGUCAAGUCAAAAGAGGUGGAGAAAAACCUAGGAAAACUAUAAGAGAAAUCAUUAGAAAGGAUUUAGAGGUCAAUAAGUUGGAUCCAAAUAUGAUUUAUGAUAGAACACUAUGGCGUACUUUGAUCCAUGUAGCCAACCCCACUUAGUGAGAUAAAGCUUGGUAGUUGUUGUUGUUGUCGUCAUUUUUACCGAAGUAGAUGCACAAAGUGAGAGUGGAAGCAAUUGAAUUGAGAAAGUUGAGUUGUUGAUUCUUCUUUAGAUCUAAGUUUCUGACAUCGUCAUCAGUUAUGUGCAUAAACGAUAUGAUAACUGACAGGACCAGUGGCACGUCCGGUGUUUGGUUGAACUUGUCAUACAAGUAAAUCCUAUCCAGGUUUAAUAACAUUGUGUUUAAUAACUUGUGCAAUCUUUUUCCAGAAAAUGUUUGAAUGUUCAUCAUAUUCAUGUGUUGUUUUAUGAACAAGAUGAAGAAAAUC
rnacentral:lncRNA from 1 species